rnacentral:misc_RNA from 1 species
GAUGAAGAACGUAGUGAAAUGCGAUACUUGGUGUGAAUUGCAGAAUCCCGUGAACCAUCGAGUCUUUGAACGCAAGUUGCGCCCGAAGCCAUUAGGCCGAGGGCACGCCUGCCUGGGUGUCACACGUCGUUGCCCCCCCAUCUACUCCUUCGGGAUUGCGGGGGGCGGAUGAUGGCCUCCCGUGCGCCUCGUCGCGCGGUUGGCAUAAAUGCCAAGUCCUCGGCGACGCACGCCACGACAAUCGGUGGUUGCGAAACCUCGGUUGCCCGUCGUGUGCGGUCGUCGCGCAUCGAGGGCUCGAAAAAAUUGCCGGGCUCCGGCUCGGCUUUCAACGCGACCCCAGGUCAGGCGGGGUUACCCGCUGAAUUUAAGAAUAUCAAUAAGCGGAGGA